rnacentral:lncRNA from 1 species
AGCUCAGAGAUAAAAGCUAUGGGAGGGUGCACUGAUGUCUGAGUGAUGUUUAACCAUGCCGGUCCAGGUACAGUGCCUGUCUCCGGAAUGAUGCAGGGAUCCCAAAGUGGAGAGAAUUAGACCUAUCGCAUUUGUGAUUAGAGUGGGCAAGAAAAGCAACAAAUGAUCAGGAGAAUUGGGGGCUUACCCAGUGAGCGAAGCUUUGGCAAAAAUGUAAAGCCGUGCAGCACAAUGCAAGAGGAGGCCAAGGACUCCCUGCAAAACCUCAACUUCAAGCCUAAAACAGCCUGAAGGUUGAAAAACUGGACUGCUGGCUCCAGAUGAAGUCCACCCUUUCCCAACUGAUUCUUUCUGAAUAAUGCCCACCUGCACACUCAGAGGAUGGGGUGGGGCCAUGCAAGCUCCCUGCCGGGAACCCAGCCUCUUGAGCUCCUAUGUGGUGGGGCAGGAGCCAGUUCACAGGCUUCCCUCUCACUCUGCUGAGAGUUUUUCUCUUUUCCUUUUUUUUGCCCAAUAAAUUCCAUUUUUCUCACCC